AAGAUAUGGAGCUUUCCUGUAUGUUUGCCAGUGCUGCUGGUUCAUCUACUAUAUUUGGAAGGACAUCUGAAAAAUCUAUUAAUAGUAUGUAUUGAUUUUUGGUUAUUUAACCCAUAUUGGCCUUUUGUGUAUAUUGUGUAUUAUUGUGAUUGAGUUAGUAGGAUACCAUAUAUACAUUGUUUCAGUUGGAUACCAUAUAUACAUUGUUUCUAUGGCUAUAUAUAUGGGCAUUUAUGCCUUCUGUAAAACGAAAAAGAGAAUGAAUUAAAUGUAGCCAUUGAGGUUUUG
rnacentral:misc_RNA from 1 species